UACGUAGGGGGCUAGCGUUAUCCGGAAUUACUGGGCGUAAAGGGUGCGGAGGUGGUUUCUUAAGUCAGAGGUGAAAGGCUACGGCUCAACCGUAGUAAGCCUUUGAAACUGGGAAACUUGAGUGCAGGAGAGGAGAGUGGAAUUCCUAGUGUAGCGGUGAAAUGCGUAGAUAUUAGGAGGAACACCAGUUGCGAAGGCGGCUCUCUGGACUGUAACUGACACUGAGGCACGAAAGCGUGGGGAGCAAACAGG
rnacentral:rRNA from 1 species